GACGAACGCUGGCGGCGUGCUUAACACAUGCAAGUCGAACGAUGAACCGGGGCUUGCCCUGGGGAUUAGUGGCGAACGGGUGAGUAACACGUGGGCAACCUGCCCCAGACACCGGGAUAACCAUUCGAAAGGAUGGCUAAUACCGGAUAUGACCACUUCGGGCAUCCGACGGUGGUGGAAAGGAUUCUGGUCUGGGAUGGGCCCGCGGCCUAUCAGCUAGUUGGUGGGGUAAUGGCCUACCAAGGCGACGACGGGUAGCCGGCCUGAGAGGGCGACCGGCCACACUGGGACUGAGACACGGCCCAGACUCCUACGGGAGGCAGCAGUGGGGAAUAUUGCGCAAUGGGCGAAAGCCUGACGCAGCGACGCCGCGUGAGGGAUGAAGGCCUUCGGGUUGGUAACCUACUUUUCUUGGGAGAAGAGACAAGGACGGUAGUCCCACGGAAUAAGUACUCGGCUAACUACGUGCCAGCAGCCGCGGUAA
rnacentral:rRNA from 1 species